rnacentral:rRNA from 1 species
AGACGUAGGGGGCUAGCGUUGCCCGGAUUCACUGGGCGUAAAGCGCGCGUAGGCGGUUCGGCAAGUCGCCCGUGAAAGCCCCUGGCUCAACUGGGGGAGGUCGGGCGAUACUGCCGGGCUAGAGGGCGGCAGAGGGAGGUGGAACGGCCGGAGUAGCGGUGAAAUGCGUAGAUACCGGCCGGAAUCCCGAUGGCGAAGGCAACCUCCUGGGCCGUUCCUGACGCUGAGGCGCGAAAGCUGGGGGAGCGAACCGGAUUAGAAACCCGAGAAGUCC